UGACUGCUCCGAGGCCCCGCCCUGU
rnacentral:piRNA from 1 species